rnacentral:rRNA from 1 species
UACGUAGGGUGCGAGCGUUAAUCGGAAUUACUGGGCGUAAAGCGUGCGCAGGCGGUUUUGUAAGCCAGAUGUGAAAUCUCCCGGCUCAACUGGGAGGGGUCAUUCGAUACUGGCGGGCUCGAGGCCGGUAGGGGGAAGUGGAAUUCCCGGUGUAGUGGUGGAAUGCGUAGAUAUCGGGAGGAACACCAGUGGCGAAGGCGGCUUCCUGGACCGGUUCUGACACUGAGGAGCGAAAGCGUGGGGAGCGAUCCGG